CACUGCUCCUGCAGAGGCUAAUGAACGGCAGAAAAGGAUGGAGUCUCGUUCUAAAAAAGAGAUGUUAACAACAAUGUUAUAGAAUGCCGCCCCUGUUGAAGUAAUUCAAGAAGACGAGGUUGGAGAUGCACCUCAAACUGCAGCAGAGGAGGUCAUCGAUGCGAAAGACGAGAAAAUACUGCAUUUGGAAACAGAAAUACAAAGACUGAAUAGUGUUGUUAGAACUUUAAAGAAGUGCAAAAACGAGCAGUCAGCAGAAAUUAAACGCCUUAGGAUUUCCAUUAAAACCUCGGAAUUCCACAGAAAUAAUUUGGAGCAAAAACUUAGCUGCAUUUUCACCAACGGCCAAGUAAUAUUUUUCAACGUGUGUCAGUUGAUCUAAAUUCCACAGACCCAUUUGAAAAAAAUGAUGACUUGGAGAUUCUCAACAACGACGGACUUGAGAAUUUGGCAGGGUACAUCUGCCACAAACUCGGUAAAGACAGAAAGAAAUUUGUGCCAAUUCAGAAAAUUGUUCGUCUUAUACUAGGGUGGAUCACCUUUCUGAAGGAGGACUCUCAAAACCAACAGAUACAUAUGUAUGUUGUGCUCCAUCAACAUGUGAGACCCUUGCAAGCAGUAUUUGACGAUGUAAAUGGUACUGAUUUGCAUAUACAUAUGUAUGUACAAAUUACGCCCAGAAGCACUUAGAUUUAAGAAAUUUUGUAAAUUGCAGCUCGAAAGUAAAAUAAUUGUUUUUCAGAGCUAGAAUGUAUUUUAGGAUUCGUUCCUUAAAUAAAA